AGCGAACGCUGGCGGCAGGCCUAACACAUGCAAGUCGAACGAGCUCUUCGGAGUUAGUGGCGGACGGGUGAGUAACACGUGGGAACGUGCCUUUUGGUUCGGAAUAACUCAGGGAAACUUGUGCUAAUACCGAAUGUGCCCUUCGGGGGAAAGAUUUAUCGCCAUUAGAGCGGCCCGCGUCUGAUUAGCUAGUUGGUGAGGUAACGGCUCACCAAGGCGACGAUCAGUAGCUGGUCUGAGAGGAUGACCAGCCACACUGGGACUGAGACACGGCCCAGACUCCUACGGGAGGCAGCAGUGGGGAAUCUUGCGCAAUGGGCGAAAGCCUGACGAAGCCAUGCCGCGUGAAUGAUGAAGGUCUUAGGAUUGUAAAAUUCUUUCACCGGGGACGACAAUGACGGUACCCGGAGAAGAAGCCCCGGCUAACUUCGUG
rnacentral:rRNA from 1 species